AAGCCAAAGCCUAAGCCUAGGCCUAAGCUUAAGCCUAAGCCUAAGCCUAAA
ensembl:ncRNA T08H4.6 ncRNA